rnacentral:rRNA from 1 species
UACGGAGGGGACUAGCGUUGUUCGGAAUUACUGGGCGUAAAGCGCACGUAGGCGGAUUUGUAAGUCAGGGGUGAAAUCCCGGGGCUCAACCUCGGAACUGCCUUUGAUACUGCAAAUCUCGAGUCCGGAAGAGGUGAGUGGAAUUCCUAGUGUAGAGGUGAAAUUCGUAGAUAUUAGGAAGAACACCAGUGGCGAAGGCGGCUCACUGGUCCGGUACUGACGCUGAGGUGCGGAAAGCGUGGGGAGCGAACGGG